UAAAGGAUGACAGUGUGUAACUAUUUAAUAGUUACACACUGUCAUCCUUUAAAAGGA
ensembl:miRNA